AUCAACAUAUUAUGUUUAUUUGUGCUUAAUAACAAAUCGAAGAAAAUUAGUAUCAAUCAUUUUCAAAUUUGGAAGUGAUCCGCGGGGUUAUUCUUACACCGGAAAUAAGGUUUUUGUUUUUAUUCAUAAAUACAAUAUAAAUUCUUGUGCAUCAAUAAAUGUGUACAUAAAUAUGUAUUUAUAUAAUCAACAUUUCAGCUUGUUUCAGAAUGUUACGAUACAAAAAUUUAGUUUUGCUCGGUCAUUUUUUCUGGCAGCUAUAUGCUGGAGUAGGCACUAGUUCGCGUAUAUACAGACAGAUUCAUGGACGGACAUGGCUAAAUCGACUCAGCUCGUCACGCUGAUCAUUUAUAUAUAAUAUAUAUGCUUUGUAAACUUUUCGACGUUUCCUUCUAAAUGUUACAAAGUUCGUGGCGAACUUAAUAUACCAGUAAUGCCUAAAAAAUUAUUGGUGUGCAUCAAUACAAGUUCCCAUAUAUGUGUAUUUAAAUGGUUUAUCAAUAGAAUUUUGUUUUAAUUUCUCUUUUUUUGAUACUAUCUAUCUUUCUUUGAAUAGCCUUAACAACCCUAUUGACGUUUCAACAGGAAAGUUCUUUUUUGAUAAUUAUUUAAAUAUUUCCGUAGAUAAAACACGAAGGCGUUUAGUAAAAGCUCGGAUUCGUAUAUACUGGGAUUAGGAAAUAAGGAAAAGUUUUCUGAAAGGAAUUCCAACGUAUUGGUGAUAGCAUUUUGGACCUGGCAAAGGCCUUAAAUAUAGACGAGCGUCGUGCACCCUCAAAAACAACACCGCUAUCGGAAAGUGUUGGGCGCGUCGGUAGUAUUUUCAUUGGUAUUGGGCAUCUAAAUUAAACUCGAUACCAUUCUUGGACCUACAGAGGCGUCCUCAGUUUUCCUGAUAUUCUCUUAACACAUAAGGGUGCAAUACAAAAACGCAAAGAAUGCGAACGUUUAACCUCUGAUCAAAAUGUCAGCAAUGAACAAAUGACCGAUAUAAUUCCCUAUGUUGUAAUGACUGAAAUGUCGCAUUUUAAAGAAGAAUGUAAUACACAUAUGAAGCAGGCGCUCAGAUCAUUUAUAGCAGAGCAAAUUAAGUUCUAUUCCAAUCCCGGUAAUAAGCUGCAAGGAGGAAUAUAAGUUUCCAUCAGGAAAAUUUUUGGUGAUGUUUUAACAGCAAAUAAUACAUUUGAAGUCCACAUCGAGGCAACAAAACGAUGAAAGGCGUCCUCGCAUUGGUCUUUUGAGUUUGCUGAAAUGCCGCAAGUCUCACGGAGCCUAAUUAGACGAAUACGGUGGUUGCGGAAAGAUACGAGUCGAGUUUGUGGCAAAAAACUAAGGAAGCACUAGUACAGUGUGACAUGGUGCAUUAUCGUGAUGAAAGAACCAAGAGUUGUUCGGCUAUAAUUGCAGCUAUUUGUGAUGAAUAGCUGGACGCAAACGACGCUAAAUUCAUAUACUCUAUACUUACACAUUUAUAAUUGUAGUAUACGUAAUUAUUCGCAAUAUUGUAUAGUUAGAUGUACUUCACUUGCUUAAGUAUAUAUUUUAAGUGUGAAUAUUUAUAUUAAGACUGUAUAUAUGUAUAUAUAAAUAUAUAUAUGGUAAGCGUAUAACUCCACAACGCCUGGACAAAUUUUAA